rnacentral:snoRNA from 1 species
AGGGAUGAUGACACCGAGGGCGCCCGAGCAAUGCAAUGAGGAGUCUUCGCUUCGCUGAUG